AGAGCGGAAUCAGGUCGGAAAUUUUGGAUAGAAACAAUAGAACUGAGUGAUUAAAGUGAUGUGUCAUAUAUUCGAAUAAAAAUAAUAAUGAUGUUCUUAGUUUUUUUUGCCAUCUAAAAGUUAUUAUUAAGGGACAAAGCCCAACACGACAUCUCACAUACAUUACCAAAAAACCAAACACAAAAGAUAAAAACUAAAUGGGUUUUAAGCCCAACCCACAGAACCGGCCCAAAUCAUUAACCCAAUAUGCGCCUUCAUUACCCGGCGCGACAAGCCCAAAAACUGCUUCCCAAGCCCACUAGGCUUCACACACACGUGUCGAUUAAUUAUCAAGACCAAACCACGUGU
rnacentral:lncRNA from 1 species